rnacentral:rRNA from 1 species
GACGAACGCUGGCGGCGUGCUUAACACAUGCAAGUCGAACGGAAAGGCCCUGCUUUUGUGUGGUGCUCGAGUGGCGAACGGGUGAGUAACACGUGAGUAACCUGCCCUUGACUGUGGGAUAACUUCACGAAACGGGGGCUAAUACCGGAUAGCAGCUCCUGCUGCAUGGUGGGGGUGGGAAAGUCUCGGCGGGUGGGGAUGGACCCGCGGCUUAUCAGCUUGUUGGUGGGGGAGUGGCUUACCAAGGCCUUGACGGGUAGCCGGCCUGAGAGGGUGACCGGCGACAUGGGGCCUGAGAUACGGCGCAGACUCCUACGGGAGGCAGCAGUGGGGAAUAUUGCACAAUGGGCGGAAGCCUGAUGCAGCGACGCAGCGUGCGGGAUGACGGCAUUCGGGUUGUAAACCGCUUUAGCCUGUGACGAAGCGUGAGUGACGGUAAUGGGUAAAGAAGCACCGGCUAACUACGUG